GGGUUCAGAGACUAGUCUCUGGAGGAAUAUUGCAAGUUGGUCGGGCCGCCACU
rnacentral:ncRNA from 1 species